UACGAAGGAUUCGAGCGUUAUCCGGAUUUAUUGGGUUUAAAGGGUGCGUAGGUGGAUUAAUAAGUCAGUGGUGAAAGCCCAGAGCUCAACUCUGGAACUGCCAUUGAUACUGUUGAUCUUGAGUACAGUUGAGGUGGGCGGAAUGUGUCAUGUAGCGGUGAAAUGCUUAGAUAUGACACAGAACACCGAUUGCGAAGGCAGCUCACUAAGCUGUAACUGACACUGAGGCACGAAAGCGUGGGGGAGCAAACAGG
rnacentral:rRNA from 1 species